ensembl:lncRNA
UUGCUGUUGGUGUGGAUAGUUCGCCUAGCCCAAAUCGGUUGUAGCUGUUGGAAGACUGCAAAUGCUCUGCCGAUUCUGCGAUUGACAUCCACGUUAGUCCCACCAUCCGCAGCCACAAUGCUGCCAAGUCGGACUUUGGAACUGCCGAUUGCUGUCAACAAGGCAGAUUUCAUUUCUGCAUUUGCAACCCACUCCAACCUCAGUGUGCUGGCUCUGACUGAGACCUGGAUCCAUGCUGAGAACACUACCACACCUGCUGCCCUGGCCUCCAACUUCAACUUCUCCCAUACCUCACGUCACAACAGACGAGGGGGUGGUACAGGUGAACUGGGGAAGUUCAUCGAUGAAUUUGGCACGCUACUGUCCACCAUCCUAGAUGAUGGAACUCCGCUUCUGGUCCUUGGUUAUUUCAACAUUCAUCUAGACAAGCCACAUGCAGCUGACUUUCUUGCUCUCCUUUCCACAUUCGACCUCAAGCAGUUCACCACACCAGCAACCCACAAAGCCGGCAAACAGCUCAUCCUCACAAGUAAUUGCACCACACAUAAUCUUCU